rnacentral:misc_RNA from 1 species
AAGUCGUAACAAGGUUUCCGUAGGUGAACCUGCGGAAGGAUCAUUACAGAGUUCAUGCCCUCACGGGUAGACCUCCCACCCUUGUGUUAUCAUACUAUGUUGCUUUGGCGGGCCGCGCGGCUCACGCCGUGCCUCGGGCUCUCGGGCCUGGGCGCGCCCGCCAGAGGAAAUUUAAACUCUGAAUGUUAGUGUCGUCUGAGUACUAUAUAAUAAUUAAAACUUUCAACAACGGAUCUCUUGGUUCUG